GUGGGGGUGGUGGAACUGGUAGACACCCUGCCAUGAGGGGGCAGUGCCUCGGCGUGAGGGUUCGAGUCCCUCCUCCCACA
rnacentral:tRNA from 1 species